rnacentral:rRNA from 1 species
UACGUAGGGUCCGAGCGUUGUCCGGAAUUAUUGGGCGUAAGGGGCUCGUAGGCGGUUCGUCACGUCGGGAGUGAAAACUCGGGGCUUAACCCCGAGCCUGCUUCCGAUACGGGCAGACUAGAGGUAGGCAGGGGAGAGCGGAACUCCUGGUGUAGCGGUGGAAUGCGCAGAUAUCAGGAAGAACCCCGGUGGCGAAGGCGGCUCUCUGGGCCUUACCUGACGCUGAGGAUCGAAAGCGUGGGUAGCGAACAGG